UUUCAUAUUUUAUACAAUAGGAUCUAAUGAAGAACCAUUUUACUAUACUGAGUAUGCUGAGAAAUUAAAUCGUUUCAGUAGAACAAAAAGGAUGAAUUUCAGACCUCCAUUUAAAGGAUCUUAUAUCCUUGGUUCAUGUAAUGGUUUAGUUUGUUUCAAUACACGCCUUGAUAACAGUUUCAAUUUGCAUCCUGCUUACGUCUGUAAUCCCAUCACCAGAGAGUUUAUAGUCCUUCCAAAAUUUGAAGGAAACUGCUUGAUAUCUGGAUUUGGUUACUGUCCUACAACCAAGGAGUACAAGGUUGUCAGAAUCAAUAUCUCCGACGGAAUUACUCAGGCAUACACUCUUGGCAGUGGCAUCGGAUGGAGAAAUGUUAGAAAGAUGGACUAUGAUUUGAUAUCUUUUCGUCAAUUUGGUGGUUUUGCGAAUGGAGCUAUUCAUUAUUGGGUGGACUCCGUAGGAAGAAUUGGUGCCUUUGAUUUGACCGAUGAAGAAUUUUGACAACUUCCAUCACCACCAUCUUGUUUGCUACCUACUGUUGCUGGAAUACGUGUUUUAGGCGAAUUUUAUGUGUGUGUGAUUACUCAUUUGGAUGGUUUGACACAUGGGUUUUAAAGAAGAACGAAAGUAAUCAUGAUAUGAUUUGGAGUAAAGAGUUUAGUAGUAGCUUUGGAGAACCUAUCAAUUUUACAGAGAGUGGUGGGCUUUUGUGCUACGAUUAUCGUGAUAAUAAUGUUUAUGGGUACUCUUCAAAAGCUUCAUCUUCUAGAAUGCUAGUGAAGUUUAGAAAGAGUUUUUGUUUUGGAGUCCCCCACAAGAACACCUUAGUGUCAUUCAAAGCAUUAGGAGAAGAUGAUACAAAACUAAUGGAUUCGGGUGAAAGAGUAAGAUCUAGCGGGGGGACAAAAAACAGUUAUCAUUAGCCAACGUAACAGAAGGAAGAAAGAGAUCUCUUAGUGAAUACUAACUGGUACGUUUCAUUCUGAUUUUUUAGCUCUUGCAGGAAUUACAGAACGAUGUAUCUUUUUGAAAGCAACUCAAUGCACAAAUUUGAGUUGCUGUAAUUAAGCUAAUUUGCUAUGCUAGUUACGAAUAUAAUGUUGAAGUAUAUGCCAGAAAAAACCUUGAAAUCUGAGAGCUUUUCUCAGUGGUUAUAAGAAAAAUCUAUUUGGUUCCUCAUAUUUAGAAUGUUGCAAUCCGGAGAUCUUAUAGUCAGCGAUAUUAAGUUGAUGAAUCUGAUGAAUAGAAUAAAAGUGUUCAUACUUGGUAUACUUUAACAAUUGUUUGAAUUUGAAUUUAUUUUUUGCAUUCACUGGUGAACGCCAGAAGAAUAACUCUAGUAGCUGUCACAGUUGGGUAUUUCUGGUUUAGAACCCUUGUUGAUGGGCCAUGUAAGAAGGUCUGACUCGCACUGUAAAAUGAAGAAGUAUGUGUUUAUGUUUCAUUGAACUAAAUGUAUUGGAGGAUGUGCUUAACACUUUAGUGAACUCAAUUCCUCUAUGCAAACAAAAUUGGAUAAGUAGAUUUCCUCUUUGAAGAAAAGUAGCGUGCACAGUUGUACUACAGAAUCUAGCUGGUUCCAGUUAUGAUAGGCUACUGAGUCUAGCCAAAUACUUCUUUGUAAUCAUUACCAACAAGUGUACAUUUCCUCUUUGAAGUUUGAACUACUUAUUUUUAGUAUGUUGUUGGUUUUUGUUGUUUUAGAUUCUGCACUUUUGUUGUUGAAUUGUCUAGUAAACGUACGGAAGCCUAUCAUUUAGUCUUUCGUAUAACAUGCACUUGAUAUUGUAUAGUCGACCUAGUGCUGAAUUCACCUUUCCCCCAAUGUCCAAGUUUCAGCUAUUUGUUAACAUUCUUCCCAUGUUUCUAUGUGUUCUUUUGUGUGUGGUGUUUUAUGUAUGUUGAUUUACCACUUGUUAUCACUCUGUAGUGGUCUAGACUUUAACUUUAAAUGUCUCAAAUCCUUUCCUCGCUAAAAAUAGGAAAGCGUAAGUCCUUAGGUACGUAUGCUCGUCAUAGCAGUGAAGAUCACCAUCUUCUGCACUUCAACGUCAAUGUUUUUAGUGGCAUCUCUUUGGAUACCCUUAUUUGUAACUAGGAUGCGGUGUGUAUUUAGCAGCAGAAUUUGGUACCAUUUGUUAUUUUGAUGUCCUAGACGACUCGGGAGGCAUUUGAUGUUCGAAACGACGUGGGAAGCAUAUAUGCCUGCAGGUGGUAGUUUUUGACAGGCUUCAGGUUACUGACGAUUACUCCAGAAGUGAUCUGAAGAAUGGAUCACUGGUAUAGAGAAGCCUUAGAGUUUGCAGGUUACUGACGAUUACUCCAGGAUUAAGGUCUCUGCAUGCUCGGAGUUAAGAAGAGGAACAAGCAGUCUUUUGUAUGUUCAGAGACAGAAUCGGGCUAUGAACUUUUGUAACUAGGUCUCUCUGAACCAAUCUUACAAGAGCGAAUCCUUCUUAAGCGAUAAUUUUAUACUGUCCCCAAGAAUUACAAGAUUAUGUGUCGAAUUCAUCUUUAAAAGGGGAAAUCCAAUGUGCAUGGUCUGGCCAUCCCACAGCUGUCAUCGAUGGCAUUGAAAUACGGUUACGGAUAUAACAUACGACCGACCCGUAUCGAAAUCCGUUUUUCCAAACAUCAAUUUUAAGCCCACCG